rnacentral:lncRNA from 10 species
GGGUUCCGGUGGCAGCGCCGGGGUCUCAGACCCUGAGGAGACUGAGCCCAGCGCCAGGCGACCGGUCCCCGCCGCCGCCGCCCCUGCGCGGGAGAUCCCCCCUGCUUAGUCCGCGCCCGAGCCCCCGUCCGUGGGAACAGACAAGGGGCCUCCGCAGCGCCUCACAACCCCCGACCAGGUCCAGCGGCGGGGGACUCGGCCGUGGAGGGCGCUGUUCGGUCUGGAUGGCUCCCCCCAUCAGCGGGAGGCUACACCCCCCACCAGCAGGGGCAAGAGGAGCAGCGGGAUGGGAGCAGGCCAACGUCCUGCGGCCUGGUUGAGCUCGCACUGACAAUCGCAGGUUUCGGACACGGGGGUCGCUUUGGGGGGCCUGGGGGCGCGGGGACCAGAGCUCGGGGCGGGGCAGUCCAGCCAGUUGGGCCCCAUGGGCUGGGGGGCGUCCGGCUCGGUCUUGAUGCUGUUCUUGGGGAAGCGCCAGUAGUGGGCGCCCUUGAAGAAGUAGGUGUCACCUGGAGGAGCAGAGCUUGAGUCCCGGUCCCUCCCCGCCCCGCCGCUCCCUGAUGCCCAAGGACCCCCAUCCCCGCAGGGUGGCCUCCAUGUCCCCAUUCCCCACAUCCCUCUCCCCACCCCCAGGCCCAGUAACCCGCAGGUCACCGCGCUCCCCACCUGCGUUGCUGACGGUGACAUCGUCAGGGGAGGGGGGCGCGCCUUCCCAGAGGCUCAGGUCGCGAGGGUAGCCGGGGUCCGGGCGCGCCGCCGCCUCGUCGUAGCGCCAGUACUGCCGGCCGCGGACCAGGUAGGUCUUCCCGUUCUGUGGCCACGAGAACACGGCGUCCACCUCCUCUCCCGGGGGCAGCCCCAGCUCCGUGAGCGGCCGCGCCCCGCCCUCCAGCUGCCGGUCCUGGAACACCCAGAACUGGGGCCCUGCAGGGUGGAGGCCGGGAGGUCAGGGGUGGGCUCCCCGCGCCGGCCCCAGCGCGCCCCGCCGCCGGCCCCACUCACCGCUAAAGAGGAGGAUUCGGCCGUCUCGGUGCCGAGCAUAGGCGGCCUGCACCACCCUCACCUGGGCGGGCAGCCCCUCCCAGAAGCGGUGCAGCCGUGCGGGUCGCGGGGACACCAGCUGUCCGGAGGGCUGGAGGCGCCAGAACCAGGGGCCUUUGAAGAAGAAAGUUUCCCCUCGGAUGUUGGCGAUGGCGUCAAAAUUGCCCUCACAUCGAUCAGGGAUGGGGAAGGAUGGGGCUGGAGUGCAGUGGCACGAUCUCGGCUCACUGCAACCUCUGCCUCCAGGAUUCAACUGAUUCUCCUGCCUCAGCCUCUCCAGUAGCUGGGAUUACAGGCUUGC